rnacentral:lncRNA from 1 species
GAAUCUCAAGCCCUUACCAAACCCUAAAAUCAAACUCCAAGCAAGAAAAACUAAAAUCUCUGCAAAACAGUAUUAAUUUCUGAAAUUGAUGUUCAAUUUUGAAGCUGUGGAGAUGUUUCAUGGAAAACCCAUUUGUGGUUUAGGUCAAAAUUGAUACUCUAUGUCUCUCUCUCCACAAAUGUAAACCAAAUAACACAUCUUUUUGCCAACUCAGAAAAACUAAGCAAGAAAAACCCUUAUUCAACACCACUAAACUAAAAAUGGAUUUGAUAUCUCAGCACCCAAAAAUUCAAAAUUUUCU